CCUACGGGUGGCAGCAGUGAGGAAUAUUGGUCAAUGGGCGCGAGCCUGAACCAGCCAAGUCGCGUGAAGGAUGACUGCCCUCCGGGUUGUAAACUUCUUUUGUAAAGGAAUAAAGUGAGGCACGUGUGCCUUUUUGUCUUUACUUUAUGAAUAAGGAUCGGCUAGCUCCGUGCCAGCAGCCGCGGUAAUACGGAGGAUCCGAGGGUUAUCCGGAUUUAUGGGGUUUAAAGGGAGCGUAGAUGGGUUGUUAAGUCAGUUGUGAAAGUUUGCGGCUCAACCGUAAAAUUGCAAUUGAUACUGGCAGACUGGAGUACAGGUGAGGUAGGCGGAAUUCGUGGUGUAGCGGUGAAAUGCUUAGAUAUCACGAAGAACUCCGAUUGCGAAGGCAGCUUACUAAACUGCGACUGACAUUGAUGCUCGAAAGUGUGGGGAUCAAACAGGAUUAGAUACCCGGGUAGUC
rnacentral:rRNA from 1 species